UACGUAGGGGGCAAGCGUUGUCCGGAUUUACUGGGCGUAAAGAGCGCGCAGGCGGUCGUUCAAGUCGAGUGUGAAAGCCCCCGGCUCAACUGGGGAGGGUCACUCGAUACUGAUCGACUCGAAGGCAGAAGAGGGAAGCGGAAUUCCCGGUGUAGUGGUGAAAUGCGUAGAUAUCUGGAGGAACACCGGUGGCGAAGGCGGCAUUCUGGACCGAUAUUGACGCUGAGGAGCGAAAGCCAGGGGAGCAAACGGG
rnacentral:rRNA from 1 species